AUGGCCAAAUAUAUAAAACAAGGUACUGUAUAUACAAAGAGGUUCUACCUUUUGUGCAUUAGUUUCCAUUCUGAUUUCUUCCUGCUUUCAGAGGUGUUUCGGGUUUGUGGGGGGGGGUUGCUUUGUUUUAAAUUUUAUGGUUUCUCCUUCCACAUAAAUCGUACCAAUCUGCCUCUCCCCAGCGCUGGUCCUCUAGACUUUUCCCCAUUCCGGCACCUUUCCUCAGAACUCACUGAGAACGGUCUUCCUCGUUGCUUUUCUUCCCUUCUUCCUCCCACUUCCUGCCUGGGCCGACCGCGCGGGCCGCGGGCCGCACCUGCAGGACGCGUUUCCAUUGGUGACAUCUUGGCGGGCCCGUCGGUGGCACUUCCUCCUUUACACCCCGUGACCCACGUCCGGCCCGCCGCCCUCAGUCACGCGGCCUCUGCCUCCGGGACGCAGCCCCGCGCGCCGGCCUUCCGGACUCUGGACCCGUCGUGGUUAAUAACAAAAGGCGACGCAUCUGGACUUUCCCCGGAGCCCUCUGCGUUUUUAAAGCGUCGGGUGGAAUUAGGGGUCCUUUGGCUGUAAACCGCGCUUAUUUGAUGAAAAUAGAAAUCAGUCCUGCUCCCCUCAGCGCCACAAAAAGCUGCACCCAAGCUUGUUUGAC
rnacentral:lncRNA from 1 species